ensembl:lncRNA
ACUCUUGUCUCAAAGCAGGAAACUUGUGAGCUGAACUCCAAGUGUGCUCCAGUCACUCACAGUGGGCACACUUUCCUAGUUCUCUUCCUCUGUAAACUUCUCUCUGUCUGGCGUGCCUUCCCUACCCCUUUCAAUCUGGAGAAAGUCUAAUUAUAGUUCUAAAGCCUUGUUCAAAUGUCACCUCUGUUAAGUGAAAGUCGGUCAGUCAUGCCGACUAUUUGCGACCUCAUGGACUAUACAGUCCAUGAAAUUCUCCAGGAGGGGGUAGUCCUUCCCUUCUCCAGUGGAUAUUCCUGACCCAGGAAUCGAACCGGGGUCUCCUGAAUUGCAGGCGGAUUCUUUACCAGCUAUCAGAGAAGCCCCCUUCUCGGUUAAGUGGUCCCUAACUCCCUCAGUUUACCCCCUCCUCUGACUCUCACAGCACUUUUUCCGACCAUAGUAGGCGUCACACGCCAAAUAUUCACUCAUUCCCAUCCUCCACCUCCUUGUCUCACUCACCAGUCCCAUCACACAGACAGAGCUCCUGAAGAACCAGGACUGGGUCUCACUGGCCUUUGCAACCAUUACACUCAGCAGGGAACCUGGGGCAACAGAAGGCGGCACAAUAAACGAGGGUUUAGUUUAGUCAAUGAAUGACCCUCCCUACUAAACCCUAUAAAAACAUCAGCACAAUUUAUAAAGCUGACUUACCUCCAACAUUUCAUGCUGGUUUAAGGACGUUCCGCAAGCAUCUAUAAGCCCUCCUUCCUCCAGCUUCUAACUCAAGGCUUUCUGCAUGGCGCCCUGCGCAGGACCACCAAUGCUUAUACGCAGUGGACUCUCAAAUGAUGAUGAUAAUAAGAAAAAUAACAAUAUUACUAACACUACUAAUACGUCCAAACCUCACCAACUUCAGGAAAGACUGAAGGAAGCCAUUCUUGUGGGCGAAACACAAGUAAGGCCGGAGCCAGGGCGCAAACCAGAGCUGGAGGCAAGGGCUCUGCAGUCCGCUUUCCGAACCUCCCAAAACGCUUACGUCCUACAUUCUCACGAGGCCUGCCCGGGUCUGCUGAGGCUCACGGCAGCCCACCCUGUGCUGUACAAUAGGAAGCCAGUUGCCGCUUUCCAGACUCCUGCUCCUCGCGGCAGGGCCGGCAGCCCCGGCGAAAGGAACAACCAAUCACGCGGUGGCCAGUGGAUCACGUGGCGCCCAGGCUGGUGCGGAGAGCAGCCAAUCGGAGCGCGAGGCGAACUUUGGGGACGGAGCCGGCCAGAGGGCGCAAGCGCAUUUGCAGUCGCUCUAUGGCUGGGCGGGUUCUGAAGCCUGAGUUAAAAGUUAGACGCGGAGUGGUUUCUGCCGGUCUU